rnacentral:rRNA from 1 species
UACGUAGGGUGCAAGCGUUUGUCCGGAAUUAUUGGGCGUAAAGAGCUCGUAGGCGGUUUGUUGCGUCGGCUGUGAAAUCCCGAGGCUCAACCUCGGGUCUGCAGUCGAUACGAGCAAACUAGAGUGUUGCAGGGGAGACUGGAAUUCCUGGUGUAGCGGUGAAAUGCGCAGAUAUCAGGAGGAACACCGGUGGCGAAGGCGGUUCUCUGGGCCUGUUCUGACGCUGGAGGAGCGAAAGCGUGGGGAGCAAACAGG